rnacentral:lncRNA from 1 species
CAAACACAGAAGUAGAGAGCAACAUGGCCUUUCAAGGAACACAGGGCUGUUUUGUGCUAUCAAAAUCUCCUGUAUCCCUCUAAGGAGAAACAGGAUUUCCUCCACGAUAUGCUCUUCUUAAGCGCUGCCCUUCAUUCUGGACCAUGAAAAUUAGCAGCAAAAACACUCCUGAUGAAAUGAACCAAGACCCAUCACAGCUGUCCUGUUCUUUGGCGAUUUUGAACACCAUGUUCUUUUAUUCAUUUUCUUUGAGAGCAUUGUGUGUUGCUGACUUUUCAAAAGUUCUUCAUUGACAUGCACCCCAACAUGAUGAACCAUCAGUGGUGUUCCAGCCACAGAGCAUCCGUGGGUGAGAAGAGACAGCUGGUUUUUGCAUGGUCCAGGCUGAUGAAACACACCAGAAUUGGAAAAUCUCUGUUCAAGUCAGUGGGCCAACAUUCAGAGAGCUGCCAUCCAACUGCAGUCCAAUUUUUCAUGCCUUCAUUAGUCAGCUGAAUGGGCCUGGGGAGGAAGAUUUGACCCUUUCACUGCAGGAAGAAUGCUAUAAUUACUAUGAAAGUAAAAAGAACUUGUCCUUUAGGUUACAUAACCCAUAUUCCUGCUGUCUUACGUAACUAUGGAGUAUUAAAUAAUACGUAAUUGAAUGAAAGUUGCAACACUGGGCUCGAAAAUUUGCUGAAAUAAUUAAUAUCACCAGUCAUUAUAUUGAUUUAUACACUCGGUAUUCUAGACAGAGCCAACCACUGUAGGUUAUUAUCCUUGUGAAUCAAUGUAUUCAACUGCUGUGCACAAACAAAGGGAAAAGUCAAAGAAUAUAAUUUGUAACAUUUGCAGCUGAA